GGACGUCGCCACAAGGACUCUGCAUGGACACUUCCAGGCUCGGCGUGCUGGAUUACUGCUGCCUCUGUCUACCUAUGGUGAACACACACCUCCCCCCCCACCAACACCAACACCAGUACAACACAGCACUGAACUCCACUUUGCAACUCAUCACUGCAGUAGGUGAAAGACCACCAUUGAAGAUCUCCUACCAUGCUGGCCUUCUACAUAUCUCUACCAAUCACAGCCUUCCUUCUGGAGCACUGAUGAAGACCUAAGCAUUCAGUUACAUGCGGUUAUUCCAGCAGCUGAAUUAGUCUUCCCCAGGAAUGGAGCGACACCCUCCCAGUCUGACCAGUUCACCACAGGAAUGCCUGGUCCAGGCUCCAGAAGAGGCGUUUAAAAAAUUAAACACAUUCUCCUCAAACCUCAAGCCUAAUCUCUCACAGCCAACAUCCACUCCCAGCGAGGCCGGCAUGCUGACUGGCCAGUCGGCUCAGUCGCUACAUAUAAAAUGCAUUAGCUUUAUGUAAUAAAAUUGAUAUUACAGCACUCA
rnacentral:lncRNA from 1 species